AUUGAACGCUGGCGGCAUGCUUUACACAUGCAAGUCGAACGGUAACAGGUUAAGCUGACGAGUGGCGAACGGGUGAGUAAUGCAUCGGAACGUGCCCGGUCGUGGGGAUAACACUUCGAAAGAAGUGCUAAUACCGCAUACGAUCUGAGGAUGAAAGCGGGGGACCGUAAGGCCUCGCGCGAUCGGAGCGGCCGAUGUCAGAUUAGGUAGUUGGGGGGGUAAAGGCUCACCAAGCCGACGAUCUGUAGCUGGUCUGAGAGGACGACCAGCCACACUGGGACUGAGACACGGCCCAGACUCCUACGGGAGGCAGCAGUGGGGAAUUUUGGACAAUGGGCGCAAGCCUGAUCCAGCAAUGCCGCGUGCAGGAAGAAGGCCUUCGGGUUGUAAAGCUCUUUCGGCCGGGAAAAAAUCGCAUGGGUUAAUACCCUGUGUGGAUGAUGGUACCGGAAUAAGAAGCACCGGCUAACUACGUGCCAGCCGCCGCGGUAA
rnacentral:rRNA from 1 species